GAUUUUAAGAGGUCAAACUAAAUUGUAAUUCUAGGGAGCUGGGUUUACUGCUUUUAGGCUUUUCUCAUUAUAUUAUAGCCUAAGUCCUUAGGUAACUGGUAUAUCUCUUACUAACUCGCUUUUACCCAAAGUGCUAUGACUUCCAGGAUGGCUGAGUACUAAUUCAAACUUGUCAUUUAAUGUCACUUUUAGUUGAUUUCUGAUUUCCUUUUUUAAAAUCUGCAAAUAGUUGAGCAGUCAAGCUAUUGGAUGGUAUCUAACUUAGUAGUACUGAGAAUAGACCCAUUUAAAUCAAUGGACUUAAGUUAACUUAAGUCUGUUGAUUUCAAUGAGCCUACCAAGUAUGACUAGUUGGAUACCACCCAUUGUUCCUAAUAAUAAAUGCGGAUAUUUCUGUUGGGUAAAUUAAAGUACUGGCUCAAAGGGCUGCUUCACACGUGGCUUUCUAUAUGGUCCAGGACAUCACUUUUCUGUAUUAAAAUCAAUGCAGUCAUGUGAAAAUGCACACUUGGUGUUGUGUGCAUACCUAGAAACAUAAGCAGAUGCUCAUCAUUUGAUCAUGCCUUUUUCUGCAUGGAAUAUUUAUAGGAAGGUCAUUGAAUGUGAAGAGAUAGUCAUACUUAGAUUUUAAGUGAUUCAGAUAUUGUGAGGAUAUUGAAUUCUGGCAAGUGAUACAACAGAUCUGCUUGAGUAAUGAUGGAGCAUAUUAGAACACAGCUUGGUAUCAUCAGGCACAGUUUAAAUUUUUGUCACAACUGUCUGGGUUUUGGCAAGUAAUUUGAAUUUCCCCUCAAUUGUCUUUUAAGUACUGCAAGAAAAAAGACCUUUUAAAUAAAGAAAUGGAAAGAGGUGGUUACACAUCCUUUAUCAAAAUCUGAGUAAUUAGGACCAUCAUCAGCAUAAUCCUGUGCAUGACUCCUUGGAAGUAAAUCCUGUAAAGUUCAGUGGAACUUACUUCCAAGUAAGUGUGUGUAGGAUUGCAGUCUACUCUGAUGGUGCGAAUGCCACAGCCGAUUUAGAUGUUCACACUUGAAAUGCAGUCUGCUAUAUUUACAGUAUUCCUUUAAUGAUUUUUUUCUUAGAGGAUCGUUCAGGUGAAUUGAGUUGAUUCACUUUGAAUUAAAACUACACAGUUGUUUCUACUUUCCCUCUUAUUGUUUACUCCAGUAUCUUUUAAUUGCAGUUCAUUUGUGAUGCUGGGGGAUGCUCUAAUGGCUGCUCCAUAAUAGUGAGUUAUUUCUUCACAGGAUUGGUCAGCCCCUCUGGAUUGGUUAGAGGGACAUCUUUGUCUGAAAGAGAGGAUGGCAUUUUCCUGAAGCAUGGAAGUAUACUGCUUGUCUACAAUUAUGACAUCAUAGGCUUCAGGUGCUCAAAAAACAGUUCAGCACCACUCUACCUCUAUUUAGUAGAAGCACCUUCAGAUCUGGCCUGUAGACGUAACUGCAAAGUGUCAAGUCUAGGUAAAUAUGAAUGAUCCCAAUUUCCUUCGUAUCUUUGUUGCAUUUGCAUGUUUCUCUGUUCGGCUCGUUCCAUUAUUUUACUGAAACAUCUUUAGUAGCAUAGUUAGUCCAACUCAAAUGAAACUAAGAUCAGCAAGCCAUCUAUUCUACGGCUGUCUGUUACCAGGCUGUACAAUGAAAGACUUCGCAAGUCAAACCCAGCCCACCCAUCAUGAAUGGUGAUCCACUUGGCCGCAAUAAAACUAGUGUCUGGAACUGGGAAAGCAGAUUGUCAAGUGUGUGACAAGCCGCAAUUCCUGUCUGUAGGGAUACAUUAGAUUUUUAGCUGGAGUUGCCUAAGAUCUUAUACAAAAGUAUGACCCUAUUAUUGGCUUGUGCCACCUUACAGGGUUUAAUACCUCACAUUUUGGUCAGUUCAGCCUCAUGGCUAGGAAGUUUUAAAUGCCUGCAUGACGUUAAAUACAAAUGGUAAUUCUCUCUGUGCAUCCCAUUCCAUUGGGAAGACAAUUUGAGUAGCAGCAUUAUGUACAAGGAUAGAUAUUCCAUUGCUGCCAUCAAGUGGGUAUUUGCUGGUGGGGUAUUCACAGGGGUGAUUAGCAAGUGGAUACUUGCUGCCUGGAAAAAAUGUUUUCACAUGGAGCCACUUGACAUGUUACAAACUUCCUACAUGAAAGAACAUGGAUUUAUAUUUGAUAUAAGAAUUAUUACAUUUUAUAAUCACUGCUACUAAUAGGUAGGAAACUACCUCACACCAGGUGAUACUUUUGUCCCUGACGCCUUGUGCUGUGUGCUCUGAUUGGUAGUGUCUUAGGCAGAGAUUUUCCCUGCCACUGAAUCACCUACUUUUUGACUUUUAACACUGGAAAUGUGAGGUAUUGAAUCUAGACCUGCAUGAAAAGCAUGUGCUUCACUUCUGAGCUAUGGUCCCCUCCCAUAGAAUAUGAAACGUGUGUCUCAGUCUUAAGUAUAUGCCAAGAAGUGGUGAUGUGUGUGUUUAUGUACAUGCAGCAAAACGUGUGUGUGAUGAUCAGAAAUGACUCUGGGCAUUUGUAACCUGUGAACUAAACAAAUUAAGGGGACUGUUGACAGAUUUCCUUGUUCAUUUUGUGUGAUAGCCCCUGUAGGUCAUCAGAAGUGACAUGAUCGUUGAUCUUUUUCUGGCCCUUGUUUCCUUUUGAGUAUAGGAAAACAUGCUUUCCUGUAGCAUAUAGAAUUACAGGUUUACAUAUGGAAGCUUGUUCAUUCUCAAACUAUUAUCCCCCCCCCAGUAAACCACUUUUAACAUAACCUAAAAGGCCAAUAUACCAUAUUCUGUAAUGAAAAGGUCUGUUGCACCAAUGUACGGUACUUGAUAAAAUUUAAAACUUGAUGCCUAUGGUUAACUUACUCUCUAAUCCCUUCUAGGAGAUGGUGUACUGAGAGCCAGCAGUGUUGUCUUCUGUCCAGAUUGUGAAGACAGUUUGUAUUUCGCAAUUUACUGUUGAAAUGGAAUUGACUUUCGGAGGCGGGAGGGGGACAUUUGCUGUUAAAUGUCUUUCAUCCCCUUAAGCAGCUUUUCCUCCUUGGUUUUUCUGCUUACUCUUUAAGUAGUGACCUCUUUCACACUUUUAGGUUGCUAGUAUUUGGACCUUCAGAGGUGAGUUAGCUUUUUCUGUGUUUUGGGAUAUUGGGAAGGAAUGGGAUACCAGGCUUGUUAGACUUGGCUAUUAAAAAUGU